ACUCGUUUGGUGGAAUGGUAGACGCGGUAGAUUCAAAAUCUAUUUUUUUUUAUAAAAAAUAUCGGUUCAAGUCCGAUAACGAGUA
rnacentral:tRNA from 1 species